UACGGAGGGGACUAGCGUUGUUCGGAAUUACUGGGCGUAAAGCGCACGUAGGCGGAUUUGUUAGUCAGGGGUGAAAUCCCGAGGCUCAACCUCGGAACUGCCUUUGAUACUGCAAAUCUCGAGUCCGGGAGAGGUGAGUGGAACUGCGAGUGUAGAGGUGAAAUUCGUAGAUAUUCGCAAGAACACCAGUGGCGAAGGCGGCUCACUGGCCCGGUACUGACGCUGAGGUGCGAAAGCGUGGGGAGCAAACAGGG
rnacentral:rRNA from 1 species